rnacentral:rRNA from 1 species
GACGAACGCUGGCGGCGCGCCUAAUACAUGCAAGUCGAGCGAGCUUGCCUAGAUGAUUUUAGUGCUUGCACUAAAUGAAACUAGAUACAAGCGAGCGGCGGACGGGUGAGUAACACGUGGGUAACCUGCCCAAGAGACUGGGAUAACACCUGGAAACAGAUGCUAAUACCGGAUAACAACACUAGACGCAUGUCUAGUGUUUGAAAGAUGGUUCUGCUAUCACUCUUGGAUGGACCUGCGGUGCACUAGCUAGUUGGUAAGGUAACGGCUUACCAAGGCAAUGAUGCAUAGCCGAGUUGAGAGACUGAUCGGCCACAUUGGGACUGAGACACGGGCCCAAACUCCUACGGGAGGCAGCAGUAGGGAAUCUUCCACAAUGGACGAAGUCUGAUGGAGCAACGCCGCGUGAGUGAAGAGGUUCGGC